AAAAAAAUCAAUAGCAAAAAGAGAAAAUUUCACUUUUGUACCAGAAAAUGAGGGCCAAGUUUCCAAUGAGAGGUACAAGAAACUGGAACGAGGUGCUCAUGUGGGCUGGGGAGUCAAGAAAAGAGGCUUCUGUCUCAGCUCACAGGAAACCCACUGAAGUCUCUGGGCUGAGAUGGGUGACAGUGCAUUUGCCUUCAAGACUGGCUACCUCUGGCUGCAAGGGAGACCAGCCAACAGUCUCUGUAGACGGUGCUGAGUUCUGGCUUGCUGCCUUUCAGGGACAUGAAUGAAGCUGGAAACCAUCAUUCUCAGCAAACUGACAGAAGAACAGAAAACCAAACACUGCAUGUUCUCACUCUUAAGUGGGUAUUGAACAAUGAGAACACAUGGACACAGGGAGGGGAACAUCACACACUGGGGCCUGUCAGGGGGUUGGGCAUUAGGGGAG
rnacentral:lncRNA from 1 species